rnacentral:rRNA from 1 species
UACGUGAGCCCCGAGCGUUAUCCGGAAUUAUUGGGCGUAAAGGGUGUGUAGGUGGUUAUAUUAGUCGUGGGUGAAAUACCGGAGCUUAACUCCGGGAACGCUUACGAAACGGUAUAUCUAGAAUGUGUCAGAGGCAUGUGGAACUCUCGGUGUAGGGGUGAAAUCCGUUGAUAUCGAGGGGAACACCAAAAGCGAAGGCAGCAUGCUGGGACAUUAUUGACACUGAAACACGAAACCCUGGGUAGCGAAUGGG